rnacentral:lncRNA from 1 species
UGUUUUGGGAGCUCGGUAGGUCCUGAGCAUGUGGUUCAUUUGCUCUUCUUCACUUCUGCUUUCCUCAGGAAAUAAGUGCAGCAGCUCAUCAAGUGAUUCACAGUGGAAAGUUCAAAGAACAGAGUGAGAGCUACUGCAUGCACCAAGGUGCCUAAUUGGACAGAAGCAAUAAAGCUCUCUUUAUCUGGAUGUCCAUGUUGACUGUAAGAGGAGCUGCUGGAUCUAGGAGCCCAGCAUUAUGAGAUCAUCCUUUAAACUGCUGGUGGCAUCGAAAUCUCAGGAUGCUUUAUUCCUAGGCCCUGGGAUAUGGAGACAGCUCCAGGAGAUUCAUUAUCCUCCAUCAGCAACAGAAAAUGCAAAGGACUUAAAAGUCUGAAUGGGUCUGUAGAUCCACUGAAGGACUGUUAGGAUUAAGAAUACAUAAAACAGAAGAUCCAAGUGGAGAGAACAGACUAAUAGUAUAUUACGUGUCUGACAUCUAAUUUAGAAUGUCUGUUUUAGUCUCAACUGAUGGAGUAAAUAUGUGAAUUGUAAUUGCCAU